rnacentral:rRNA from 1 species
UUUAAUAUGAGAGUUUGAUCCUGGCUCAGGAUGAACGCUGGCGGCGCGCUUAAGACAUGCAAGUCGAACGGUUCAACAACAUUGCUGAAGAUGAAGAUUUAUCAGAUUUGGAAGCGCCGUUGUUGAAUAGUGGCGGACGGGUGAGUAACACGUGAGCAACCUGCCUUCAAGAGGGGGACAACAGAGAGAAAUUUCUGCUAAUACCGCAUAAGACCACAGUACCGCAUGGUACAGGGGCCAAAGAUUUA